AUUGAACGCUGGCGGCAUGCCUUACACAUGCAAGUCGAACGGUAACAGGUCUUCGGAUGCUGACGAGUGGCGAACGGGUGAGUAAUACAUCGGAACGUGCCUAGUAGUGGGGGAUAACUACUCGAAAGAGAGGCUAAUACCGCAUGAGAUCUACGGAUGAAGGCAGGGGAUCGCAAGACCUUGUGCUACUAGAGCGGCCGAUGGCAGAUUAGGUAGUUGGUGGGAUAAAAGCUUACCAAGCCGACGAUCUGUAGCUGGUCUGAGAGGACGAUCAGCCACACUGGGACUGAGACACGGCCCAGACUCCUACGGGAGGCAGCAGUGGGGAAUUUUGGACAAUGGGCGCAAGCCUGAUCCAGCAAUGCCGCGUGCAGGAUGAAGGCCUUCGGGUUGUAAACUGCUUUUGUACGGAACGAAAAGCCCUGGGUUAAUACCCUGGGGUCAUGACGGUACCGUAAGAAUAAGCACCGGCUAACGACGUGCCAGCCGCCGCCGUAA
rnacentral:rRNA from 1 species